CCUACGGGUGGCAGCAGUGGGGAAUAUUGCACAAUGGGGGAAAGUCUGAUGCAGCGACGCCGCGUGAGUGAAGAAGUAUUUCGGUAUGUAAAGCUCUAUCAGCAGGGAAGAAAAUGACGGUACCUGAUUAAGAAGCACCGUCUCACUACGUGCCAGCAGCCGCGGUAAUACGUAGGGGGCGAGCGUUAUCCGGAUUUACUGGGUGUAAAGGGAGCGUAGACGGCAGCACAAGUCUGGAGUGAAAUGCCGGGGCUUAACCCCGGAACUGCUUUGGAAACUGUGCAGCUAGAGUGCAGGAGAGGUAAGUGGAAUUCCUGGUGUAGCGGUGAAAUGCGUAGAUAUCAGGAGGAACACCAGUGGCGAAGGCGGCUUACUGGACUGUAACUGACGUUGAGGCUCGAAAGCGUGGGGAGCAAACAGGAUUAGAUACCCCUGUAGUC
rnacentral:rRNA from 1 species